rnacentral:lncRNA from 1 species
UGAGCAACUAUGAAUUCUAAUCCAUGUGAUAUCACCUAUGUGAUAACUCAACCAAUUACUAUGGCACUGAGUACUCCCCCCAUUAGGGAAAUAUUAUGCAAUUAAUAUGCACUACAUAUACAUGUAAUGCCUCCAAAGGAGUCAUUUCUUCCCAGCAUCCCAUCUAGACCUUAGAGCCAGGAGCUGCUUUAGUGCUAAAAAAAAAAAAAACCUUAUUGAAGAAGUCAUAUGACAUAGUUGAAAGAAUAUUGGAUCUAGAGUCAAAAGUUGAACUGGAUUGAAUUUCAGCUCUAUCACAUUCUUAGCUUAUGUGGCCUUGAAAAGACCCUUAACCUCCCCAGACCCUCAGUUUUUUAAUCUGUAGAAGGGGUCUUAGAAUAAAUGAGAUGGCUAGACUAGAUGAUGCUUUCCUCCUUUGAGGCCUUUGAUUCUAAGCUAAAUUUAAAAGCAAAAGACCUGGUUGAAAUCCUCGUUCUGUUACUUAUCAUCUGUGAUAGAGAGAUUUGCAAGAAGUGUCAAAUAUUGAACCUAAGCUGUUGGAUUCCAAAGCCAGGAUUCUAAGUGAGUAUGGACCAAUCUACCUAACUACCCUCUGAAUUUAGACUGAGUCUCUAAUUUAUGUAUUUCCUAAUGUACUCAAAUCGUCUCUCCAUUUUUUUUUUCAGAUGAAAAAACUGAGACAUUAAAGGAGGGAGAAAGCAGGAGAUUUCUCAUGCCACCCUUAUGCUAGGAGCUUUAGAAGAUCAAGAUAAUAGCCACAGCCUUACUGUUUUCUCAAGGAAAAGCAGGCAUGGGGACCAAGGAGAGCCCAGCAAGAUCUUGAAUGUGCCUCUCCCCUUUCCCUGGGUUUGACACAGGCAACUUUCCUCUGGCUUAGAACCAAAGCAAAGCACAAAUGAACUCCACUGUAAGAAGUCAAGAUCUAGAAAAACACAUUUACUAAAUAGAUGAUUGUUCUCAUGAUGAAAGGAAGUUUUAUUUCACAAAAGAAGACAUCACCCAG